rnacentral:rRNA from 1 species
UACGGAGGGUGCGAGCGUUGUUCGGAAUUAUUGGGCGUAAAGAGCAUGUAGGCGGUCUGUUAAGUCUGGUGUGAAAGCCCGGGGCUCAACCCCGGAAGUGCAUUGGAUACUGGCAGACUUGAGUAUGGGAGAGGAAAGCGGAAUUCCGAGUGUAGGAGUGAAAUCCGUAGAUAUUCGGAGGAACACCAGUGGCGAAGGCGGCUUUCUGGACCAAUACUGACGCUGAGAUGCGAAAGCGUGGGGAGCAAACAGGAUUAGAAACCCGGGUAGUCC